rnacentral:ncRNA from 2 species
AGUGUCGCCGCCGCUGAUGGUUCCCUCCGCCAGCCAGGCGGAGGGACGUGAGAGGGAACCCGGUGCGAGUCCGGGACUGCCCCGCAGCGGUGAGCGGGAACGACCGCCGUCAGGAGCACUGGGUGUGCCACCACCUGGGAAGCGACGGCCAGUAGGGGCACCGGCAGGUGCACGCCCGCGAGUCCGAAGACCUGCCAUCAGCGCAACGGUCCC